rnacentral:rRNA from 1 species
GACGAACGCUGGCGGCGUGCCUAAUACAUGCAAGUAGAACGCUGAGGAGAGGAGCUUGCUCUUCUUGGAUGAGUUGCGAACGGGUGAGUAACGCGUAGGUAACCUGCCUUGUAGCGGGGGAUAACUAUUGGAAACGAUAGCUAAUACCGCAUAACAAUGGAUGACCCAUGUCAUUUAUUUGAAAGGGGCAAAUGCUCCACUACAAGAUGGACCUGCGUUGUAUUAGCUAGUAGGUGAGGUAACGGCUCACCUAGGCGACGAUACAUAGCCGACCUGAGAGGGUGAUCGGCCACACUGGGACUGAGACACGGCCCAGACUCCUACGGGAGGCAGCAGUAGGGAAUCUUCGGCAAUGGGGGCAACCCUGACCGAGCAACGCCGCGUGAGUGAAGAAGGUUUUCGGAUCGUAAAGCUCUGUUGUAAGUCAAGAACGAGUGUGAGAGUGGAAAGUUCACACUGUGACGGUAGCUUACCAGAAAGGGACGGCUAACUACGUGCCAGCAGCCGCGGUAAUACGUAGGUCCCGAGCGUUGUCCGGAUUUAUUGGGCGUAAAGCGAGCGCAGGCGGUUUGAUAAGUCUGAAGUUAAAGGCUGUGGCUCAACCAUAGUUCGCUUUGGAAACUGUCAAACUUGAGUGCAGAAGGGGAGAGUGGAAUUCCAUGUGUAGCGGUGAAAUGCGUAGAUAUAUGGAGGAACACCGGUGGCGAAAGCGGCUCUCUGGUCUGUAACUGACGCUGAGGCUCGAAAGCGUGGGGAGCGAACAGG